rnacentral:lncRNA from 1 species
AUAUGUGUAUUAAAUUAAAAAGAUUUUAAUUUAAUUUACUUCUAUUGCAUAAAAUAUUUAUGAAAAGUUUUAAAUUACACGUAUGAAACCACCCUAUUUUCUAACGAUGGUAUCAGAGCACAGGUUCUGAUACAAACACGUAACCCCUUAGUGAAGGAACCAGAUCUAGGGUUUCAGGAUUAGAUCUUGAAACUUUUUCAAGAUCAAGCAGUGAAAGACUAAAAUAAAUCAAAAUUUAUCUUAUAAAACUAAAGAAUCCCUAGAUUUAAGAUU